UAAUAAAAUGCUACAACCCGACUGGGGGAUGGCUCGGCUCGAGAGCCGAAGAAGGUCGUGACAAGCUGCGAAAAGUUGCGGGGAGAGGCAUGAAUCUCUUGGAUCCGCAAAUUGCUGAAUGGGACCUCCUGGCACUCUGUGCCAUUCCUAAAUGGAAAGGGAACCUCCUGAACUGAAGCAUCUCAGUAGGGAGAGGAAAAGAAAUCAAACGAGAUACCGCUAGUAGUGGCGAAUGAAAACGGUAUAGGACAAACCGAAUCUUUAUGAGAAAUCAUAAAGAGAUGUGGGGUAUGGACCAUCUGUAGUCUAAGUCAUGGAAAUAGAAGUCGCCUGGAACGGCGCACCAUAGAGGGUGAAAGACCCGUAUAUGUACAUGAUAUGAUCAAGUGAUGAAUCCUGAGUAGCGUGCGUUGGAUAUCGCGCGUGAAUAUGGGAGGCAUAAACUUCCAAUCCUAAAUACUACUCGAGACCGAUAGUUGACAAGUAGCGUGAGCGAAAGCUGAAAAGUAUCCUUAGCGGGAUGUGAAAAGAACC
rfam:Euryarchaeota archaeon TMED280 2838, whole genome shotgun sequence.